AGUGAACGCUGGCGGUAGGCCUAACACAUGCAAGUCGAACGGCAGCACAGUAAGAGCUUGCUCUUACGGGUGGCGAGUGGCGGACGGGUGAGGAAUACAUCGGAAUCUACUUUUUCGUGGGGGAUAACGUAGGGAAACUUACGCUAAUACCGCAUACGACCUACGGGUGAAAGCAGGGGAUCUUCGGACCUUGCGCGAUUGAAUGAGCCGAUGUCGGAUUAGCUAGUUGGCGGGGUAAAGGCCCACCAAGGCGACGAUCCGUAGCUGGUCUGAGAGGAUGAUCAGCUACACUGGAACUGAGACACGGUCCAGACUCCGACGGGAGGCAGCAGUGGGGAAUAUUGGACAAUGGGCGAAAGCCUGAUCCAGCCAUACCGCGUGGGUGAAGAAGGCCUUCGGGUUGUAAAGCCCUUUUGUUGGGAAAGAAAAGCAGCAGGUUAAUACCCCGCUGUUCUGACGGUACCCAAAGAAUAAGCACCGGCUAACUUCGUG
rnacentral:rRNA from 1 species